rnacentral:misc_RNA from 1 species
GAUGAAGAACGCAGCGAAAUGCGAUAAGUAAUGUGAAUUGCAGAAUUCAGUGAAUCAUCGAAUCUUUGAACGCACCUUGCGCCCUUUGGCCAUUCCGAAGGGCAUGCCUGUUUGAGUAUCAUGAACACCUCAACUCUUCAUGGUUUUCCAUGAUGAGCUUGGACUUUGGGGGUCUUGCUGGCCUGUGGGUCGGCUCCUCUCAAAUGAAUCAGCUUGCCGGUUUUUGGUGGGCAUCACAGGUGUGAUAACUAUCUACGCUUGUGGUUUUCCACCAGGGUAACCUUCAGCAGUGGAGGUUCACUGGAGCUUACAAAUGUCUCUCCUCUGUGAGGACAGCCCUUUGAAUGUUUGAUCUCAAAUCAGGUAGGACUACCCGCUGAACUUAAGCAUAUCAAUAAGCGGAGA